UGCAGUCGAGCGGAUGACGGGAGCUUGCUCCUUGAUUCAGCGGCGGACGGGUGAGUAAUGCCUAGGAAUCUGCCUGGUAGUGGGGGACAACGUUUCGAAAGGAACGCUAAUACCGCAUACGUCCUACGGGAGAAAGCAGGGGACCUUCGGGCCUUGCGCUAUCAGAUGAGCCUAGGUCGGAUUAGCUAGUUGGUGAGGUAAUGGCUCACCAAGGCGACGAUCCGUAACUGGUCUGAGAGGAUGAUCAGUCACACUGGAACUGAGACACGGUCCAGACUCCUACGGGAGGCAGCAGUGGGGAAUAUUGGACAAUGGGCGAAAGCCUGAUCCAGCCAUGCCGCGUGUGUGAAGAAGGUCUUCGGAUUGUAAAGCACUUUAAGUUGGGAGGAAGGGCAGUAAGUUAAUACCUUGCUGUUUUGACGUUACCGACAGAAUAAGCACCGGCUAACUCUGUGCCAGCAGCCGCGGUAAUACAGAGGGUGCAAGCGUUAAUCGGAAUUACUGGGCGUAAAGCGCGCGUAGGUGGUUCGUUAAGUUGGAUGUGAAAGCCCCGGGCUCAACCUGGGAACUGCAUCCAAAACUGGCGAGCUAGAGUACGGUAGAGGGUGGUGGAAUUUCCUGUGUAGCGGUGAAAUGCGUAGAUAUAGGAAGGAACACCAGUGGCGAAGGCGACCACCUGGACUGAUACUGACACUGAGGUGCG
rnacentral:rRNA from 1 species